CUGGAACUGGUGUUAAGGACAGUGGUAUCCAUCACGUGGGUGCUGGAAACUGAACCCGGGUCCCCUGCAAGAACAGUCAGUGGUCUUAAGCACUGAGUCACUGCUCCACCCCCAAUGCUUUUAAUAGUAGCUAAUGGCCAAAGCUGGCAGCUUGGCCUUUGAUCAGGACUUAACAACUAGCCACUUCCCUGGCUCACAGAGACUGCUUAGAGUCAAUCUAACCACUGCUGUGCCAAAAGAUAACUUGACUGCUCAUCUUGAGAAAAUAACCUCAGGAAGGAAGACCCUCAAGUACCCCAAAGACACUAACACCUGACACCAAGCAAAUUCCCGCAGCUCUGUUCAGCAGAACUCCUAUAUAAGACCAGAUCGUUUUGCUUAUGCUGAUGUCCGUAUCCAUGGACAGCAGGGGCCCUUUGUAUGUUCCCUUCAAUAAACCUAUUCCUUGCCUGUU